rnacentral:lncRNA from 1 species
CUUCCACUGUUCCUUCUCUGUUUUCACUGAACAGAGAAGAGGAACAAGGGAUGGGGGUGCUCUUCGGUCCUCAAAGUGGCCGUCACUGAGGGCCUGCGGCGCCUGUGGCCGAAGGCAAGCCGAUUGCCACGGGUGCCUCCCCCUCCUUUUCCUUCUCUCUUCUUCUUCUUCUUCUUCUUCUUCUUCUUCUUCUUCUUUU